CCUACGGGGGGCUGCAGUAAGGAAUAUUGGUCAAUGGAGGAAACUCUGAACCAGCCAUCCCGCGUGAAGGAUGAAGGGGCUCUGCCUUGUAAACUUCUUUUGUCUGGGGCGAAAAAGCUCGAUUUAUCGAGAACUGACGGUACCAGAAGAAUAAGCACCGGCUAACUCCGUGCCAGCAGCCGCGGUAUUACGGAGGUUGCAGGCGUUAUCCGGUUUCACUGGGGCGAAGGCGUGCGUGGAAGGCUUAGGAGAAAGGCUGUGGCUUAACCAUGGAAUUGCCAUGGAUACUGCAGAGCUUGAAUGAGGUUGAGGUUGGCGGAAUGUGACAUGUAGCGGUGAAAUGCUUAGAUAUGUCAUGGAACACCGAUUGCGAAGGCAGCUGACUGGACCUAUAUUGACGCUGAGGCACGAAAGCGUGGGGAGCGAACAGGAUUAGAUACCCGAGUAGUC
rnacentral:rRNA from 1 species